rnacentral:rRNA from 1 species
GACGAACGCUGGCGGCGUGCCUAACACAUGCAAGUCGAACGGAGAAUUAGCAAUAAUUCUUAGUGGCGAACGGGUGAGUAACGCGUAGACAACCUACCCUUUAGAUGGGGACAACACCGCGAAAGUGGUGCUAAUACCGACUAUUGCUUGAGAAGCGCAUGCUUUUCAAACUAAAGAUGGCCUCUAUUUAUAAGCUAUCGCUAAAGAAUGGGUCUGCGUCUGAUUAGCUAGUUGGUGAGAUAAAAGCUCACCAAGGCAACGAUCAGUAGCCGGUCUGAGAGGAUGAACGGCCACACUGGGACUGAGACACGGCCCAGACUCCUACGGGAGGCAGCAGUGGGGAAUCUUCCGCAAUGGACGAAAGUCUGACGGAGCAACGCCGCGUGAGUGAUGAAGGUUCUCGGAUCGUAAAACUCUGUUGUUAAGGACGAAUGUAUAGAUUGUGAAUAAUGGUUUAUAAUGACGGUACUUAACGAGGAAGCCACGGCUAACUACGUGCCAGCAGCCGCCGUAA